GGGCAUACUGCAGUCGAGCGAUCACUGGGAGCUUGCUCCUGUUGGUUAGCGGCGGACGGGUGAGUAACACGUGGGCAACCUGCCUGUAAGACUGGGAUAACACCGGGAAACCGGUGCUAAUACCGGAUAAUCCUUUCCCUCUCAUGAGGGAAAGUUGAAAGUCGGUUUCGGCUGACACUUACAGAUGGGCCCGCGGCGCAUUAGCUAGUUGGUGAGGUAACGGCUCACCAAGGCGACGAUGCGUAGCCGACCUGAGAGGGUGAUCGGCCACACUGGGACUGAGACACGGCCCAGACUCCUACGGGAGGCAGCAGUAGGGAAUCUUCCACAAUGGACGAAAGUCUGAUGGAGCAACGCCGCGUGAGCGAUGAAGGCCUUCGGGUCGUAAAGCUCUGUUGUUAGGGAAGAACAAGUACCGGAGUAACUGCCGGUACCUUGACGGUACCUAACCAGAAAGCCACGGCUAACUACGUGCCAGCAGCCGCGGUAAUACGUAGGUGGCAAGCGUUGUCCGGAAUUAUUGGGCGUAAAGCGCGCGCAGGCGGUCCUUUAAGUCUGAUGUGAAAGCCCACGGCUCAACCGUGGAGGGUCAUUGGAAACUGGGGGACUUGAGUGCAGAAGAGGAAAGCGGAAUUCCACGUGUAGCGGUGAAAUGCGUAGAGAUGUGGAGGAACACCAGUGGCGAAGGCGGCUUUCUGGUCUGUAACUGACGCUGAGGCGCGAAAGCGUGGGGAGCAAACAGGAUUAGAUACCCUGGUAGUCCACGCCGUAAACGAUGAGUGCUAAGUGUUAGAGGGUUUCCGCCCUUUAGUGCUGCAGCUAACGCAUUAAGCACUCCGCCUGGGGAGUAGGCCGCAAGGCUGAAACUCAAAGGAAUUGACGGGGGCGCACAAGCGGNGGAGCAUGUGGUUUAAUUCGAAGCAACGCGAAGAACCUUACCGCUUGACAUCCUCUGACACUCCUAGAGAUAGGACUCCCCUUCGGGGGA
rnacentral:rRNA from 1 species